AUUGAACGCUGGCGGCAUGCUUUACACAUGCAAGUCGAACGGUAGAGGGGGCAACCCCUUGAGAGUGGCGAACGGGUGAGUAAUGCAUCGGAACGUGCCCAGUCGUGGGGGAUAACGCAGCGAAAGCUGUGCUAAUACCGCAUACGAUCUCUGGAUGAAAGCGGGGGACCGAAAGGCCUCGCGCGAUUGGAGCGGCCGAUGGCAGAUUAGGUAGUUGGUGGGGUAAAGGCCCACCAAGCCAACGAUCUGUAGCUGGUCUGAGAGGACGACCAGCCACACUGGGACUGAGACACGGCCCAGACUCCUACGGGAGGCAGCAGUGGGGAAUUUUGGACAAUGGGCGCAAGCCUGAUCCAGCAAUGCCGCGUGCAGGAAGAAGGCCUUCGGGUUGUAAACUGCUUUUGUACGGAACGAAACGGUCCGGGUUAAUACCCUGGGCUAAUGACGGUACCGUAAGAAUAAGCACCGGCUAACUACGUGCCAGCAGCCGCCGCCG
rnacentral:rRNA from 1 species